rnacentral:tRNA from 1 species
GGUGCGGUGGCCAUGUGGUAAGGUGUUGGUCUUGUAAACAAAAGAUCACGCGUUUGAAUCCCCUCCGUUCCU